rnacentral:misc_RNA from 1 species
UCUCCGUAGGUGAACCUGCGGAGGGAUCAUUACAGAGUUCAUGCCUUACCGGGUAGAUCUCCCACCCUAUGUUAUUAUUACUUUGUUGCUUUGGCGGGCCGUUAGGCUCCGGCCCGACUACCGGCCCCGGCUGGUAAGCGCCCGCCAGAGGACCCAAAACCCUGAAUAUUAGUGUCGUCUGAGUACUAUAUAAUAGUUAAAACUUUCAACAACGGACCUCUUGGUUCUG